rnacentral:lncRNA from 1 species
CGACUUUGUUGAUGCUCUCUUCAACCUCGUUGACUCCCCCUUCAACUUCAUUGACUUUCACCUUGAUUUUGUUAAUGUCAUCGUUAAUCAUAGCUACGCUAAUUUUAACUUUUGCAUCAACAAUUUCUUCUUCAACUUUGUUAACUCGUACGCCAUGAUCCUCCACCAAACUGGAUGCUUGAAUAACGAACGAAGUAUCUUGUACCUCCUUAACUUUGGCAACGGGUAGAACAUCUUUGAUUUUUCUAGAAGAACUAUUUCGCUUCUGAUAAUAUUCCUCGCUCCAUGCUAACUCUUCAGCCUCUUCAAGGGAGUCGAUUGCGCGCCACCCUAUCCUAAGACGGAUUGAAAUAUUCAAUCCUUGCAAGUACC